rnacentral:rRNA from 1 species
UGGGGAAUUUUGGACAAUGGGCGAAAGCCUGAUCCAGCAAUGCCGCGUGUGUGAAGAAGGCCUUCGGGUUGUAAAGCACUUUUGUCCGGAAAGAAAUCCUUGGCUCUAAUACAGUCGGGGGAUGACGGUACCGGAAGAAUAAGCACCGGCUAACUACGUGCCAGCAGCCGCGGUAAUACGUAGGGUGCAAGCAUUAAUCGGAAUUACUGGGCGUAAAGCGUGCGCAGGCGGUUUGCUAAGACCGAUGUGAAAUCCCCGGGCUCAACCUGGGAACUGCAUUGGUGACUGGCAGGCUAGAGUAUGGCAGAGGGGGGUAGAAUUCCACGUGUAGCAGUGAAAUGCGUAGAGAUGUGGAGGAAUACCGAUGGCGAAGGCAGCCCCCUGGGCCAAUACUGACGCUCAUGCACGAAAGCGUGGGGAGCAAACAGGAUUAGAUACCCUGGUAGUCCACGCCCUAAACGAUGUCAACUAGUUGUUGGGGAUUCAUUUCCUUAGUAACGUAGCUAACGCGUGAAGUUGACCGCCUGGGGAGUACGGUCGCAAGAUUAAAACUUAAAUGAAUUGACGGGGUCAUAGCUGUUUCCU